rfam:Larimichthys crocea isolate SSNF unplaced genomic scaffold scaffold14, whole genome shotgun sequence.
GUCGGCUACGGCGACAUGAGGCCGGUGACGGUCGGCGGGAAGAUCGUGGGCUCCCUGUGCGCCAUCGCCGGAGUGCUGACCAUCGCGCUCCCGGUGCCGGUCAUCGUGUCCAAC